rnacentral:rRNA from 1 species
CCGCGGGAUUAGAGUUUGAUCCUGGCUCAGAACGAACGCUGGCGGCGUGGAUAAGACAUGCAAGUCGGGCGAGAUUUUUUUCUGUAGCAAUACAGGGAAACGUUUAGCGGCGAACGGGUGCUUAACACGUGGGCAACCUGCCGAGAAGUGGGGGAUAGCUCGCCGAAAGGCGAAUUAAUACCGCAUGUGAUUAGAGUGGACAUCCAUUCAAAAUCAAAGUCGGGGCAACCUGACGCUUCUUGAGGGGCCCGCGGCCUAUCAGCUAGUUGGUGAGGUAACGGCUCACCAAGGCUUUGACGGGUAGCUGGUCUGAGAGGACGACCAGCCACACUGGGACUGAGACACGGCCCAGACACCUACGGGUGGCAGCAGUCGAGAAUUUUUCUCAAUGGGGGAAACCCUGAAGGAGCGACGCCGCGUGGAGGAUGAAGGUCUUCGGAUUGUAAACUCCUGUCAUUGGGGAACAAUGCGUAAAUAUUAACUGUAUUUACGUUGAUAGUACCCGAAGAGGAAGGGACGGCUAACUCUGUGCCAGCAGCCGCGGUAAUACAGAGGUCCCAAGCGUUGUUCGGAUUCAUUGGGCGUAAAGGGUGCGUAGGCGGCGCGGUAAGUCGGGUGUGAAAUCUCGGAGCUUAACUCCGAAACUGCAUUCGAUACUGCCGUGCUUGAGGACUGGAGAGGAGACUGGAAUUUACGGUGUAGCGGUGAAAUGCGUAGAUAUCGUAAGGAAGACCAGUGGCGAAGGCGGGUCUCUGGACAGUUCCUGACGCUGAGGCACGAAGGCCAGGGGAGCAAACGGGAUUAGAUACCCCGGUAGUCCUGGCAGUAAACGGUGCACGUUUGGUGUGGGAGGAUUCGAC